rnacentral:lncRNA from 1 species
CCGAGAGAUGCGUUUCAGAUUGGUCUGCGGUGUAGCAUCUUGUGUCUCUAAAAUGAGCUGCUCGUUAUGCGUAGAUAAUCCUUUGUACUGCAGUUUUUUUCAAAGGAUAUAACGUUGGCUAUGGAAAACUACAAAUAUGUUGCUAUCGCUUCCAAUAACAUUGCUGCCCUGAAUUUAUCAGGCGCUUUCGACAAAGGUCAGUGGGAAAAAGUUGAUGGACUACUUUCUGGAGGACGAUCUCUGAUGAAAAACAUUUUAAUUGAAGACACUGUCUUCUGAUGCCAGUGAUGGGGAAGAAACGGAAAUCAACAGUGUUGUCAUGGAAGAAGUUGACCGAGUUUUGAAAUCAGUGGAAUGUCUGUGCAAACUAAAUGAAAACAACACAGGAUGUCUUAUUUAAUGGAAGGGGUUGCAGUCUGCUGUGACGCUUUCAUCCAUGUAUACGGUCUUUCAGCAACAGUAGAACACACCUGACUCUCCUCCACCAGUCACACAAGGAGAAUGGUCUAAUGCCUCCCAUCAAAAAGAGAGCUGGCCCAAGCAAGUACAGGUUACACCUGAAGCAUGGGGACUUGCAGCGAGUGGUGAACUUUAUCAACAAAUACGCAGAGGACAAUGACAUAGUAUUGCCAGAACGACACCAAGGACACAAACACUUUGGAGGCAAGCUACUGCCAUCCCAUGUGGCAAAAGCAGCAGUGUGGCGUCUCACCAAGUGUUGUCAUUGAUUCCUUGUAAUGUAAAGCAUAAACACAUUUUGAUUAUUUAAUUGACCUCCAACAUGAUUGGCACUACUUUUAUUGAUCUCACAUUAUUUCUGUAUUUUCCAGAUGUACGUGUAGUCGGGCUGUCUUCCUUCAGGAAUCUAUGGAGAAAAUUGCAGCGCCACAGCUCAAGCACUAAGCCCAGGACAGACCUGUGCUGGCAGUGCCAGGGGAACAACUGGCAGAUCUGAAGACCUGAUAAUCUGCCAGAAGCUGUUUAAUUAGUCAAGCUGAAGAAGCAAGAGCAGCAUCUCCUGCUUGUUCAGUGAGCGAUCUGUCUACCAGAAGAUGGUUGCUGACUGCAAGACCACCUGUCAAGACUUGCAGUUGUCUCUGGGUUUGCUCAACAAGUGCACUAUCCUUCUGACCCUAUGAAGCCAGGUGCCAUCUACUUUUAACUCCUCGCAAGUGUGGCUUGUUUGGUGUCUGCUGUGAAGGAAUACCACAAGUCGACUACUUGAUUGAUGAAGGCAUGUCAUACAGCAAAGGCAGUAGUGUAGUCAUGUGAAGAACAGCACUUUGACAGGGGUCAACACCCCACAGCUGGUUGGACUGGAGGAUGGUACGGUGCUGGUGGAAAGCUAUGGCUGGCAACAACACCUGACUCCGUACUUCAGGCCGCUGCCACAGAUCAAGCAGUACCAGCACUUCAGCUUCAGACAGACCAGUCAUUAGCACUAUCUGCAGUGCUCUAUUCAAAUGACUCUAUCCUAACACACACGCCAUACAUUGCUGCUAGUAUUUAUUUUUUUAUCCUGCUGCUCACCCACUUUACCCCUGAUUGUAUGCAUAUAACUACCUCAUCUAUCACUGAUAUCGUUAUUGCUCUUGUACAUACUGUAUAUUUUAUUUAUAUUGACAUUAUCUAUUUCUGGUAUUGCUAGUACUUUUGGCUGUAGUAACCAUUUGGCUGUACCGUUUACACCUUCUGUAGAGACCCAUCCAAUUAGCAAGAUGUGGCCAGUGGUGUAAAAGUACUAAACUAUUUUGGGGAGGUAUCUGUACUUUACUUGACUAUUUAUAUUAUUGGCAACUUUUACUUCACUACAUUCAGAAUUUAAAAAAAAAAGUUUUACUCCAUUCAUUUUUCCAUGACACCCAAAAGUACUCGUUACAUUUUGACACACAAAUUGUCCAAUUCACACACUUAUCAAAAGAACAUAAUUCACACACUUAUCAAGAG